rnacentral:rRNA from 1 species
AGAGUUUGAUCAUGGCUCAGAACGAACGCUGGCGGCGUGCUUAACACAUGCAAGUCGAACGGAAUUAGGGGCUUGCUCCUAAUUUAGUGGCGCACGGGUGAGUAACACGUAGGUAACCUGCCCUUCACUGGGGAAUAACCCGUCGAAAGACGGGCUAAUUCCGCAUACGUCCAAGACUGCUCCGGCAGAUUUGGGGAAAGGCGGCCCGCAAGGGCUGUCGGUGAUGGAUGGGCCUGCGUACCAUUAGUUAGUUGGUGAGGUAACGGCUCACCAAGACAUCGAUAGGUAGGGGUCCUGAGAGGGAGAUCCCCCACACUGGUACUGAGACACGGACCAGACUCCUACGGGAGGCAGCAGUGAGGAAUAUUGGACAAUGGGCGCAAGCCUGAUCCAGCCAUGCCGCGUGCAGGAAGACGGCCCUAUGGGUUGUAAACUGCUUUUAUACAGGAAGAACACUCCCUCGUGAGGGAACUUGACGGUACUGAUGAAUAAGCACCGGCUAACUCCGUGCCAGCAG